GUGAGAAACUCAUUCCCCAGAGCAACAGUGUAGAGAGGUGGAACCUGAUGGGAGCCCCGCCCUCACAGACGAACUCCUGUAGCUGUCAAGACAGCUUGGGCAUGGAUUCCUCUCUGCCUUCUGCCAUGUGGACACGUGGCCUUCCUCCCCUCUCUCCUCCGGGGAAUGCAGUGUUUGGGCGCCAUCUUGGAAGCAGAGAUCAGGCCUCACCAGACACCAAGCCUACUGGCACCAUGACCCUGGACUCCCAGCCUCCACAGCUGGGAAAGAACUCUGCUCCCUAGAAAUUACCCAGGCUCGCUCAGGCACCCACUGACCCCAGCCUCAUGGAACCACCAUUCACCAGGCUCGAGGGGAGGAUGUCACGGCGCGCUGUUCCCUUCGGUGCCAGCCAGGAUGGGGCCGGGUGGGUGUGGCUGGUGAAAAGAAAUGCAGCCCCCCAGCCCCUGCAGACCAAGCCGAACAGCCCAGCUCGCGGGCGGAUCACAGGGCACCCAGCAGCCGCCUUCCCUCCGGAAGAGCCAAGGCGGCUUCCAAGACCAGAAAUGCCCCCAGUGUGGCUGUGCCUGUCCCCGGUGCCCGCCGGCUGGGGGGCAGCAUGCCCAAACAGAUGCACCCUGCCCAUGAUGGCACCCCAGGGACCCCCAUCCUCAGGACCCUCCAGUCGUUCAAGCUGGAAUUGGCAGGUUUCUGCCUGUAUAGGCAUCGGCUUCAGAGUCUCAGGUGCUGCUUGGCAGGAAAAUGCACGGCAGGAGGGGCUGGGCCUCGGCUCGAGGCUCCCAGGUGCACCCCCCCACUCCACUGCAGGGCCCAGGGUGGCCAAGAACAGCCACAACAACAACAAAAGCCAAACUGGGAACGGAAUCGUGGAAAAAACCCUCAUAGGCUUUUGGGAACUUACAAAGAAAUGCCCACAUCCAUUCUACUAACAUGGCAUCUACUAACGUGGCAUCUACUAGGAUGCCACAAAACAGACAAAUCCUUCCACGUAAGGCUGGACACGUGUCAGGGCGGUGUCUCAAAGCUGGGCCACAGGCAGCAUCCACGGCCAGGCCACUGGGUGGAGGAGACGGUGCUGGGGAGGAGCCGGAGGGAGGGGCCGGGGCUGUUCCCUUAGGCAGAACGGCUCACCUGUGGUGUGCGCACAGCAGGGUUGUGGGGACACAAGAUGCCCCCUUCAUUCAUCAGUUACUUGUAUUCUUUGUAUGAAACACUUGCCGAUACAAUGUGAAAAAGGGGGCAUUUCCUAAAAU
rnacentral:antisense_RNA from 1 species